GCAAGUGAUUACAAAUAUGAGAAGCAGAUAUAUAUCCCUAAUAUAGACAAUGCCAAAUGUCAUGUUUUGUGGUGUAAAAGUACGAGGGUUGAUCUGCAAUGUUUAGUGGUUUCUCCCCGUAAUUAUUAUGCAGUUUGGUUUGAUAUGAGUACACCACUAAGUGAGACCAUUGAGAAAUCAGUAGCAACAUCAUGUAAUAUUACUCUAGAGAUGACAAAUGUAUUAAUUAAGAAGAAAAUCAAAUAAAAAUAGUGUAAAUAUUUCUUGCUUCUGCUAAACGAUGGGUUGUGCUACUAGAGUAUGUUAUAAAGGGAUAUUGCCUUGUUCUGUCAGCAUGGACAAACUUCUAUUUUUUUUUCCUCUACUUGUAGGCGUCUGAGAGCAAAGAUGUCGAUGAUACCGUGAUCUGUCAAAUGCACUUGCCCAAGAAGACACAAUUGUGUCUUGCGACUGCUUCUGCAAAAGCAAGUGUCUAGAAUAUUAUUAGCCAUGUAAAACUAGAUCCAUAAUUAGUUGAUUAAUUCAAAUGAGGUCGUAUUAAAUAGUUGGACUGCACUAACCUCUGUACAUUUCCCAUAUAUUCUGAAAAUCUCGAUGUUGAUCAUAACACUCCUGAUGAAAAUGCUAGGAAUAGUUCCACUUUCCAUGCCUCCUAAUCCUAUGCACAAGCCAUAUGCAUGCAUCCUCACACUGUUCCACUAUCUAUAAUUACCACCCAAAAUUCACAAGACGGUUUGUGGAAGACGUGUUGAAGCAUGCGUGUUAUUUGUGAGGACUAGAUUCAUGAGUUGUCUAAUUUAUACUCGAGUUCUGUCCUAUCUAGGUGAUAAAUUCGGGUGGGUAGAUUUUUUUUCUUUUG
rnacentral:lncRNA from 1 species